rnacentral:rRNA from 1 species
GGAGUCUAACAUGUGCGCGAGUCCUUGGGCUAGAAGCCCAAAGGCGGAAUGAAAGUAAAGAGAGCCUUGCCUUUCUGAGGGAGGAUGGUACCGCUCUGGCGGCCGCCAGCACUCCCGGGGCGUCUAUUGCUCAUAGCGAGCAGAGGCGCACCAAGAGCGUACACGUUAGGACCCGAAAGAUGGUGAACUAUGCCUGGUCAGGACGAAGCCAGGGGAAACCCUGGUGGAGGUCCGUAGCGAUUCUGACGUGCAAAUCGAUCGUCGGAGCUGGGUAUAGGGGCGAAAGACUAAUCGAACCAUCUAGUAGCUGGUUCCCUCCGAAGUUUCCCUCAGGAUAGCUGGUGCCCAUGUGAAACGAGUCUCAUCCGGUAAAGCGAAUGAUUAGAGGCCUUGGGGCCGAAACGACCUCAACCUAUUCUCAAACUUUAAAUAGAUGAGAACUCCGGCUUGCUUAAAAGUGAAGCCGGAGAUUCGGAUCAGGGUGCCCAGUGGGCCAAUUUUG